rnacentral:rRNA from 1 species
UACGGAGGAUGCAAGCGUUAUCCGGAAUGAUUGGGCGUAAAGCGUCCGCAGGUGGCUGUGUAAGUCUGCUGUUAAAGAGUGAGGCUCAACCUCAUAAAGGCAGUGGAAACUACAUGGCUAGAGUGCGUUCGGGGCAGAGGGAAUUCCUGGUGUAGCGGUGAAAUGCGCAGAUAUCAGGAAGAACACCCGUGGCUAAGGCGGUUCUCUAGUACGGUACUGACGCUGAGACGCGAAAGCGUGGGGAGCGAACAGG